rnacentral:rRNA from 1 species
UUUAUGGAGAGUUUGAUCCUGGCUCAGGAUGAACGCUGGCGGCGUGCCUAAUACAUGCAAGUCGAGCGAACGGACGAGAAGCUUGCUUCUCUGAUGUUAGCGGCGGAUGGGUGAGUAACACGUGGAUAACCUACCUAUAAGACUGGGA